rnacentral:rRNA from 1 species
UACAGAGGGUGCAAGCGUUAAUCGGAAUUACUGGGCGUAAAGCGUGCGUAGACGGUUAUGUAAGUCAGAUGUGAAAGCCCCGGGCUCAACCUGGGAAUUGCAUUUGAGACUGCAUAGCUAGGGUGCGGAAGAGGGAAGCGGAAUUUCCGGUGUAGCGGUGAAAUGCGUAGAUAUCUGGAGGAACACCGGUGGCGAAGGCGGCAUCCUGGACCGAGAUUGACGCUGAGGCGCGAAAGCCAGGGGAGCAAACGGG